rnacentral:rRNA from 1 species
CCCUUAGAUGUCCUGGGCCGCACGCGCGCUACACUGACAUGUUCAACAAGCCUCCUAGUUCGACAGGAUUUGGGAAAUCUUUGAACGCAUGUCGUGAUAGGGAUAGAUCAUUGCAAUUAUUGAUCUUGAACGAGGAAUUCCUAGUAAACGUGAGUCAUCAGCUCGCAUUGAUUACGUCCCUGCCCUUUGUACACACCGCCCGUCGCACCUACCGAUUGAAUGUUUCGGUGAAGAUUCCGGAUAGGACUUUUUUGAUUUAUUUCAAUUUUGUCUUAAAAGCUAUCUAAACCUCAACAUUUAGAGGAAGGUGAAGUCGUAACA